CAAUAGCGUAUAUUUAAGUUGUUGCAGUUAAAAAGCUCGUAGUUGGAUUUUGGGUCGGGGGCACCGGUCCGCCGUUCCGGUGUGCACUGGUGGCCCCUUCCUUUCUGCCGGGGACGUGCGUCGCACUUAAUUGGGUGGCGUUCGGAGUCGGCGUUGUUACUUUGAAAAAAUUAGAGUGUUCAAAGCAAGCCAUCGCUCUGAAUACAUUAGCAUGGAAUAACAUGAUAGGACUCCGGUCUUAUUUUGUUGGUUUCCGAGACUGGAGUAAUGAUUAAGAGGGGCAGUCGGGGGCAUCCGUAUUUCAUUGUCAGAGGUGAAAUUCUUGGAUUUAUGAAAGACGAACUUCUGCGAAAGCAUUUGCCAAGGAUGUUUUCAUUAA
rnacentral:rRNA from 1 species